rnacentral:rRNA from 1 species
GUGAGGAAUAUUGGUCAAUGGGCGAGAGCCUGAACCAGCCAAGUCGCGUGAAGGAAGAAGGAUCUAUGGUUCGUAAACUUCUUUUGCAGGGGAAUAAAGUGCGGGACGUGUCCUGUUUUGUAUGUACCCUGAGAAUAAGGAUCGGCUAACUCCGUGCCAGCAGCCGCGGUAAUACGGAGGAUCCGAGCGUUAUCCGGAUUUAUUGGGUUUAAAGGGUGCGUAGGUGGUUUGAUAAGUCAGCGGUGAAAGUUUGCAGCUUAACUGUAAAAAUGCCGUUGAAACUAUCGGACUUGAGUGUAAAUGAGGUAGGCGGAAUGCGUGGUGUAGCGGUGAAAUGCAUAGAUAUCACGCAGAACUCCGAUUGCGAAGGCAGCUUACUAAGCUACAACUGACACUGAAGCACGAAAGCGUGGGGAUCAAACAGGAUUAGAAACCCGUGUAGUCC